rnacentral:rRNA from 1 species
UAGGGAAUUUUCCACAAUGGGGGCAACCCUGAUGGAGCAAUGCCGCGUGAGAGAAGAAGGCCUUCGGGUUGUAAAUCUCUGUUAUAAGGGAAGAAAGGUGUAGAGAGGGAAUGCUCUAUAUAAGACACUACCUUAUGAGAAAGCCACGGCUAACUACGUGCCAGCAGCCGCGGUAAUACGUAGGUGGCAAGCGUUAUUCGGAAUUAUUGGGCGUAAAGGGUGCGCAGGCGGUAAUCAAAGAUUGUGGUUAAAGAAUGGGGCUCAACCCCAUAAAGCCAUGAUAACUAGAUAACUAGAGUACAGAAGAGGAAAGUGGAAUUCCAUGUGUAGCGGUGAAAUGCGUAGAUAUAUGGAGGAACACCAGUGGCGAAGGCGACUUUCUGGUCAUGUACUGACGCUGAGGCACGAAAGCGUGGGGAGCAAAUAGG